rnacentral:rRNA from 1 species
CAAACGACUCUCGGCAACGGAUAUCUCGGCUCUCGCAUCGAUGAGNAACGUAGCGCAUCGAGAACGUAGCGAAAUGCGAUACUUGGUGUGAAUUGCAGAAUCCCGUGAAUCAUCGAGUCUUUGAACGCAAGUUGCGCCCGAAGCCAUUAGGCCGAGGGCACGUCUGCCUGGGCGUCACGC